rnacentral:rRNA from 1 species
CUGUGAGAUUACAUAUGCAUAUAGUGUUAAUGCUAUAAGAGUGUAGUAUCUACUCACAAAGUUAUCAGGUUAAAUAGUUUUAUCAACUAAUAAAAAUGUUAUUGCAUAACUAAUGUUAUACUGUAGCCCCUGCCACGAUAUCCAGCGAAAAUUAUUUUGCUGAGUAUUGUAGUAAAAGUUAAGAUAUGAUGUUGAGAAUUUUUUUGAGUUGUGCAACAACAUUAACAGCAAACUAUAAUACAAAUCUAUCUUUUUAAAAGUUUGUAUUG